GGAGUGUGGUAUGAUGAUUUAAUCUUUUUUCCCCAGCUUAUCGACCAUGGUGAUACUGUGCUGUAUUUUCAAGCCAAUCUUGUCUGACCACACUAA
rnacentral:snoRNA from 1 species